rnacentral:rRNA from 1 species
AGAGUUUGAUCCUGGCUCAGGACGAACGCUGGCGGCGUGCCUAACACAUGCAAGUCGAACGAGGUCCAUCCGGUAGCAAUACCGGUGAAGAUCAAGUGGCGAACGGGUGAGUAGCACGUGAGCAACCUGCCCCGAAGACCGGGACAACACCGGGAAACCGGUGCUAAUACCGGAUACCCCCAGCGAGCCGCAUGGCUCGGUGAGGAAAUGGAUUCCGCUUCGGGAGGGGCUCGCGGCCUAUCAGCUUGUUGGUGAGGUAACGGCUCACCAAGGCUUCGACGGGUAGCUGGUCUGAGAGGACGAUCAGCCACACUGGGACUGAGACACGGCCCAGACUCCUACGGGAGGCAGCAGUGGGGAAUCUUGCACAAUGGGCGAAAGCCUGAUGCAGCAACGCCGCGUGAGGGACGAAGGCUUUCUGAGUUGUAAACCUCUUUCAGCAGGGACGAUUGUGACGGUACCUGCAGAAGAAGCCCCGGCCAACUACGUGCCAGCAGCCGCGGUAAUACGUAGGGGGCAAGCGUUGUCCGGAUUUAUUGGGCGUAAAGAGCUCGUAGGCGGCUUGGCAAGUCGGAUGUGAAACCUCCAGGCUCAACCUGGAGUCGCCAUUCGAUACUGCCAUGGCUAGAGUUUGGUAGGGGACCACGGAAUUCCUGGUGUAGCGGUGAAAUGCGCAGAUAUCAGGAGGAACACCAGCGGCGAAGGCGGUGGUCUGGGCCAAUACUGACGCUGAGGAGCGAAAGCGUGGGGAGCGAACAGGAUUAGAUACCCUGGUAGUCCACGCCGUAAACGUUGGGCACUAGGUGUGGGGACCUAUCGACGGUUUCUGUGCCGCAGCUAACGCAUUAAG